rnacentral:rRNA from 1 species
GAUGAACGCUGGCGGCGUGCCUAAUACAUGCCAGUCGAGCGAACGGACGCGAAGCUUGCUUUUCUGAUGUUAGCGGCGGACGUGUGAGUAACACGUGUAUAACCUACCUAUAAGACUGGGAUAACUUCGGGAAACCGGCGCUAAUACCGUAUAAUAUUUUGAACCGCAUUGUUCAAAAGUGAAAUACGGUCUUGCUGUCACUUCUAGAUGGAUCCGCGCUGCAUUAGAUAGUUGGUAAGGUAACGGCUUACCAAGGCAACGAUGCAUAGCCGACCUGAGAGAGGGAUCGGCCACAUGGGAGCUGAGACGCGGACAUGAGGACUAAGGGAGGCAGCAGAAGGGAAUGGUCCGCAAUGGGGGAAAGCAUGACGGAGCAACGGCGCGUGAGAGAUGAAGGUCUUCGGAGCGGAAAACUCUGUUAUGAGUGAAAAACAUAUGUGUAAGGAAAUGUGCACAGCUUGACGGUAACGAGUCAGAAAGCCACGGCUAACUACGUG